rnacentral:ncRNA from 1 species
UAAGAUAGAGGCGCGGUUUUGUUAAGAGUAAUUUUUGAAUGUAAAUCACGGCAGUGAGAUGUCAAAAACGAAAGGAGCAGCCGCCGAAGACGGUAUGUCGGCAGACACCGCUCUGGUAAAACGGAAUAACAUCCUUUUUACUGUCGCAUUUGCGGAGUGCUAUCAGA